UGGAUGGGGGAUGGGCUCCAAGGGGGGGGGGGGGAGCCGUAGCGUAGAGUUGGUUCAACGGGAGGUUGUGGACCAUCCGAGUGCGCGUGGGGAUGGGGGCCCUGUCGGUUGGAAAAUAGUUUUGUGGGGGGAUAAGGUUGGGGACGUGUGCCGAUUGGCAGGUACCAUACGAAUAAGGACCGGGGAAUUCCGUGCCAGCAGCCGCGGUAAUACGGAAGGUCCAGGCGUUAUCCGGAUUUAUUGGGUUUAAAGGGAGCGUGGGCUGGAGAUUAAGUGUGUUGUGAAAUGUAGACGCUCAACGUCUGAAUUGCAGCGCAUACUGGUUUCCUUGAGUACGCACAACGUUGGCGGAAUUCGUCGUGUAGCGGUGAAAUGCUUAGAUAUGACGAAGAACUCCGAUUGCGAAGGCAGCUGACGGGAGCGCAACUGACGCUUAAGCUCGAAGGUGCGGGUAUCAAACAGG
rnacentral:rRNA from 1 species